rnacentral:rRNA from 1 species
AGCAGCCGCGGUAAUUCCAGCUCCAAUAGCGUAUAUUAAAGUUGUUGCAGUUAAAAAGCUCGUAGUUGAAUUUCGGGGUUAGUAGGUUGGUCAUGCCUCUGGUAUGUACUGGUCUCACUGAUUCCUCCUUCCUGAUGAGCCUUAAUGCCAUUAAUUUGGUGUUUUGGGGAAUUUGGACUGUUACUUUAGAAAAAAUUAGAGUGUUUAAAGCAAGCUAACGCUUGAAUACAUUAGCAUGGAAUAAUGAAAUAGGACGUUUGAUUCUAUUUUGUUGGUUUCUAGGAUCGACGUAAUGAUUAAUAGGGAUAGUUGGGGGCAUUAGUAUUCAAUUGUCAGAGGUGAAAUUCUUGGAUUUAUUGAAGACUAACUACUGCGAAAGCAUUUGCCAAGGAUGUUUUCAUUAAUCAAGAACGAAAGUUAGGGGAUCGAAGACGAUCAGAUACCGUCGUAGUCUUAACCAUAAACUAUGCCGACUAGGGAUCGGAUGAUGUUAAUUUUUAAUGACUCAUUCGGCGCCUUA